rnacentral:tRNA from 6 species
GCGGACGUGGCCAAGUGGAUUAAGGCAGUGGUUUGUGGAGCCACUAUGCGCGGGUUCAAUUCCCGUUCGUUCA